GUGUCUCUUCAGCAGCACACAUACUAAAAUUGGAAUGAUACAGAGAAGAUUAAUGUGACCCCAUCAAGGAUGACAACAAAUUCAUGAAGUGUUUCCAUGCUUUU